rnacentral:rRNA from 1 species
GACGAACCGUGCAAACGUUGUUCGGAAUCACUGGGCUUAAAGGGCGCGUAGGCGGGCGGUCAAGUCAGGGGUGAAAGCCCCCGGCUCAACUGGGCAGAGUCCAUGGAACUGGUCACCUGGAGGACGGUAGAGGCGAGUGGAAUUCCCGGUGUAGUGGUGAAAUGCGUAGAGAUCGGGAGGAACACCAGUGGCGAAGGCGGCUCGCUGGGCCGGUCCUGACACUGAGGCGCGAAAGCUAGGGGAGCAAACAGG